rnacentral:lncRNA from 1 species
CGACCCUAGUUGUUAAUUACAUUCUAGAAAUAGUUGUUGAAGUCCUGUCAGUUCCAGUGGAGCUCCCUCUUUUGAGUUUAGGGUAUUAGAGGCGCGAGUAUAAGUUUCAAAACCAGUGAAGCAAGACUCAUGGGAAGUCAGGGGUUCCGAGUUGAUUUCUUGAGUAGUAUUAGUUGAUCCAUGUUAGUAGCAGUAUUGGCCUUAUCAAGUUCAAGUUGAAUUACAGUAAACCAGAGUCAUUAUUCUAAAUUGAAAGAAAGAAGAAUCACUAAGAACAAAGAAUGCCAGGGACAACUCCGUAAUGCAAUAAGUAAGUAAAAGACUCCACCCUAAGAGUGAAGUGCAAAAGCCUAAGCCCAACAACUUAGGGGGUACAGGACUCCACUAAGCUAUGGCGGAAUUCAUAAUUAAUGUAUUAUGAUGGAAUCGGGUAUUGAAGAAUAAACGAAAGGUAAGGUAGGCCCGCGGGCUGUAGAGCAAGUCUUAUCGAUUGCUGUUGAGAUCCUUUCAUGGCCCGGUUCGGUUCUUUGUAUUGAUACUGGCUGUCUUAUAGCUGGUUGGUUACUUAAUGACUAGAGGAAAGAGAAAGUAUUGAGUUAAGUAGCGCUAGGUACAAAUAAAGAUAUGAGAUCGAGUAAGAGCAGGUUCACUCUAACACUAAAAGAUAUAAGUCAGGAGUUGCAGAACGUAGCUAAGGAGCGUAGGGCUGAUAGACCGGAGUGGAAGAAGACAUAUACGAGGACAGGACU